ACACCCUGCUUAUCACUGCUUAUAGUAUAAGGACAGGGGAGAAGACAGGAGAGGUGAGGACUGAUUAUCUAUCAUCACUAGAACACCCUGCUUAUCAUUGUUUAUAGUAUAAGGACAGGAGAGAAGACAGGAGAUGUGAGGACUGAUUAUCAGCACUGGAUCAUCCUGCUUAUCACUGUGUAUAGUAUAAGGACAGGAGAGAAGACAGGAGAGGUGAGGACUGAUUAUCAGCACUGGA